rnacentral:misc_RNA from 1 species
AUGAGAUCCACAAGACUUCUAUGGAGAGGGAGACACUGAAGUUUGAGCUGUUGAGUGCUCGAGCCAUGAUUAGUAUCCUUCAAUCCCGGAUUGUUGUGUUGAAUAAGGAAAUUAAUGAUUUGAAGUCGAACUAUGAUUAGUAUCAUCUUUCAAUCCGGGAUUAUCAUGCUGAAUAAGGAGACCGUAAUGAUAAUGAAGAAAAAUGUCGACAGCCAAUGGCUAUGCCCUGUAAAUUGUUGCUACCAUUUUGCUCUCUUGUACUUUAUCGGCGUUCGAAUCCGGGCCGUUGUAGUAGCUAAUGUAACUAGUUCAGUUGUCUAAGCAACUAAGCUAUCUGUUGUAAGAGUAUCAAAUUAGUCAAGCUUAUAAAUGUGUAAGAACUUCAGCCUCUGUUGUGAAACCAUGUUAGAACUUCAUGUUGUGCUAUGGCUAAAGACUAUUGAUGUAGUAACUUCAAUUUCUCAGCUGCUGGCAUUUCAUGAAAUAAGGUUGUCAUAACUA